UACGUAGGGUGCUAGCGUUAAUCGGAAUUACUGGGCGUAAAGCGUGCGUAGACGGUUAUGUAAGUCGGAUGUGAAAGCCCCGGGCUCAACCUGGGAAUUGCAUUCGAGACUGCAUAGCUAGGAUGCGGAAGAGGGAAGUGGAAUUUCCGGUGUAGCGGUGAAAUGCGUAGAUAUCGGAAGGAACAUCAGUGGCGAAAGCGACUUCCUGGUCCAGCAUCGACGUUCAGGCACGAAAGCGUGGGGAGCAAACAGG
rnacentral:rRNA from 1 species